rnacentral:rRNA from 1 species
UACCUAAACAAAUUUAAAAAGUUAAGCUUUUAAAUAACUAUUAAAGAUAUUAUCCCCUUGUAGUGUAGUUUAAUAGCUAUCUACAUAUUAACUUAAUAUAAAGUAUAAUAGUUUAUAUUUUAAAAUAUGACGUUAACAAUUUUGUUUAAUAUUUGAAAAUGUUAGUAUUAGUAAUAUUAGUAUAUGUGCUAAAGGAACUCGGCAAAAAACCACUCAACUGUUUAUCAAAAACAUAGCUAUAUGAAUUAAUAUAUAGUUAUUUCUGCUCAAUGAUUUAAAUAGCCGCAGUACUCUGACUGUGCAAAGGUAGCAUAAUCAGUUGGCUUUUAAUUAGAGUCUGGUAUGAACGAAAAUAUGGGUAGUAACUGUCUUAGCACAUUUUUUCGAACUUAUUAAAUAAGUGCAAAUGCUUGUAAUUUAACAAUAGACGAGAAGACCCUAGAAACUUGGACAAGUUUUUGUUGGGGCGACAGAAUUACACUUAACUAAUCUUAUAAUACACGACGCGAUGUUGAAAGAAUAAGUUACUCUAGGGAUAACAGCAUAAUUUCAUUAGUUUGUGACCUCGAUGUUGGACUAGGUACUAUACCCUUAAGGCAAGGAUAUAUUAUGCUCUGUUCGAGCAAAAUUACCUACAUGAUCUGAGUUCAGACCGG